rnacentral:tRNA from 1 species
GAGGGUAGAGCUCAGUGGCAGAGCACAUGCUUAGCAUGCACGAGAUCCUGGGUUCAAUCCCCAGUACCUCCA